GAUGAACGCUAGCGGCAGGCCUAACACAUGCAAGUCGAGGGAGAGGUUAUCUUCGGGUAACCAAAACCGGCGCACGGGUGCGUAACGCGUAUACAAUCUGCCUUUCACAUAGGGAUAGCCCGAAGAAAUUUGGAUUAAUACCUAAUGGUAUAUAAGAGCGGCAUCGUUUUUAUAUUAAAGCUACGGUGGUGAAAGAUGAGUAUGCGUUCUAUUAGCUAGUUGGAGAGGUAACGGCUCCCCAAGGCGACGAUAGAUAGGGGUUCUGAGAGGGAUGUCCCCCACACUGGUACUGAGAUACGGACCAGACUCCUACGGGAGGCAGCAGUGAGGAAUAUUGGACAAUGGUCGGAAGACUGAUCCAGCCAUGCCGCGUGCAGGAUGAAGGUCCUAUGGAUUGUAAACUGCUUUUGUAAGGGAAGAAUAAGGGGUACGUGUACUUUGAUGACGGUACCUUACGAAUAAGCAUCGGCUAACUCCGUGCCAGCAGCCGCGGUAAUACGGAGGAUGCGAGCGUUAUCCGGAAUCAUUGGGUUUAAAGGGUCCGUAGGCGGGCUGAUAAGUCAGAGGUGAAAGCGCUUAGCUCAACUAAGCAACUGCCUUUGAAACUGUCAGUCUUGAAUGAUUGUGGAGUAGUUGGAAUGUGUAGUGUAGCGGUGAAAUGCUUAGAUAUUACACAGAACACCGAUAGCGAAGGCAUAUUACUAACAAUUUAUUGACGCUGAUGGACGAAAGCGUGGGGAGCGAACAGG
rnacentral:rRNA from 1 species